GGGCCCAUAGCUCAGCUGGUAGAGCAACUGACUUUUAAUCAGUAGGUCCCAGGUUCGAGCCCUGGUGGGCUCACCA
rnacentral:tRNA from 1 species